AGCUGUAUCACAAGUAGUUUCUGUUCUCAAAAGACCAGAUUCCUUGUGGACAGAACGUGGCAGAACAGUAUUUCAUGUCCCUUUCUACUGGAAUAUUCCGAUACACGUUUAUAUGACCACAAAUUCCGGUUAGAAAAGGAGUAACCCAGGGGUCUUAUUUGGGGUUUUAAAAACCGAAAUAUGAGCAUAUUCGGGUGUUUGCACGUGUUUACAUGGCUGUGCACAACCGGGUUAUUGCGAAUAUUCCGGUUAAGAAAGGGUUACUGCUGUGGCCCUCCAGGACCAGGAAUGCCCACCCCUGUUUUAGUCCCUUCUGUUUUCCCUUCAGUGGUUUAAUUUCUCUCUCUUUUGUCUUAAAUUGUGUUUUCCUUUUAUUUUCUCCCAUGUGCCCCUUCUUCUGUUUUCCCUGUGAGAAACAAAACUGGUGAGAACCUUGACAGCUGUGUUAUUUUGUCUCAAUAAUUUUCACAUUUGUUCACAGAAAAUGUUUUUAAUGCUUUAAAUUGAAGAAAGUUACUCAUUGGAAUUCUUCAUUGACCUUUGAGGUUUAGAUUCCUCCUCAAACAUGUUCUGUAUCUGCAGAUUGUUGGAGUUCUGAUGUUCACCUCAGUGAUUUAUCUGACAGUCAGCGUCACACAGUCGUUCAACCCCAUCUGGAUCGGAUUUAUUCUGAUGUGGCCGUGGAUCAUCACCUUGGCCACCCUCGGCCUCGCGGCUCUCGGCGCGUACGGCAGCAUCGCCGAGAAGACCGAACCGCUCCACGUGGUAGGUACCGGAGUGGAGGUCACGCUCUUCCUGGCUGGCGUGGCCUGUUGGAGCUAACAGCUGACUGUUCCUGUGGUUUCAGUUCUAUGUCCUGAUGUGGAUUAUCACGGCCAUCCUGGCGGUCUACGGCAUCCGUAUCAUCUUCGAGGUCACAUCUGCAAUACAACAGGGUUUGCUCAAGCCCUUGAGCAUUGCAAUGGGAAUCAUCUUUGGACUUGCUUCCUUGACGUUUGUGGGAGGCCUCUUUGCCAAGCUCCUGAUGAAUCAGAUCAAACAGCGCAGCCAUGUUCAGACUUCGAUCUGGCCAAUGGAUUCCAUUCCACUCUUGACCAGUGAAUGUUAAGACGAGCAACCUCUGCUACAUUUUACCAACUCAAUGCUUGUUUCAUGUCUCUGUAACAAAUGUCACAAUUUAAUAAAAUGGACACUUUUUAAUUUCAAUGAAAAC
rnacentral:lncRNA from 1 species